UACCCUCACUAAAGGGCAACAGCACGAUUCAA
rnacentral:scRNA from 1 species